GACUCCUACGGGAGGCAGCAGUAGGGAAUCUUCCGCAAUGGGCGAAAGCCUGACGGAGCAACGCCGCGUGAGUGAUGAAGGUCUUCGGAUCGUAAAACUCUGUUAUCAGGGAAGAACAAAUGUGUAAGUAACUGUGCACAUCUUGACGGUACCUGAUCAGAAAGCCACGGCUAACUACGUGCCAGCAGCCGCGGUAAUACGUAGGUGGCAAGCGUUAUCCGGAAUUAUUGGGCGUAAAGCGCGCGUAGGCGGUUUUUUAAGUCUGAUGUGAAAGCCCACGGCUCAACCGUGGAGGGUCAUUGGAAACUGGAAAACUUGAGUGCAGAAGAGGAAAGUGGAAUUCCAUGUGUAGCGGUGAAAUGCGCAGAGAUAUGGAGGAACACCAGUGGCGAAGGCGACUUUCUGGUCUGUAACUGACGCUGAUGUGCGAAAGCGUGGGGAUCAAACAGGAUUAGAUACCCUGGUAG
rnacentral:rRNA from 1 species